UAUAUUUUAUUCAGGGAGUUAACUGAGUACUACAGCCUGGGAAACAGGCUCUCAGAUAGCCCCGAGAUACUGUUCCAAAGAGGUAAGGGAGGAUCCAGAAUAUACAGAAGUUUCUGUUGAAAACAAAUAAACGUCUAUUUGAACAUCAAAAGAGUACAGCUCAUCACAAAAAAAGACAUCUUGAGUUAAUGAUUUUAGUGCUUUUCUAUGUAUGAAACGAUGCAAAAAGUCUGAGCCCAUUGAAAUUAUUCCUUAGAUAUGCAUCUUAACUGUCUAGGGUGAGUAUCCUGUUUUUCUCCAUCCUGAGUUCCUCUGAGGGUGCACCAUCUCGGGGGCGGCGGGGUUGGGCAGCUGCAAUGGUUGAUGGCUUGAUGAUGGGCAACUUUUCUUGUUUACUGAAAUGGCAAGCAACACUUCUUUUGUCCAUGCUUUCGUAGAUUUUCCAGAGAUCUAAGAUCAACUGGCAGGUGUUAAGGCUAUAGACAAUUAAAAGUCCUGGGAUGUCUUCUCACAAAACCAUUUUUUAUCACAAGCUUCCAUACUCCCAUGUUUUGCAUUUGAAUUUUUUAAUGGAUGAUUUUACAUUUAUCCCUAUUAAGUUUAUUCUUAUUCAUGUCAGCCUAUUCUUUUAGUUUAUUAAGACCUUUUGCCUCUCUUGGUUUCAUUUGACAUUUAAUGAAUUAGGCUUCUCUCUCAGCUUUGUCACACCUGCAGUUUUGAUAAACAUGUCUUUUGUGUCUUCAUCCAUCAUUAACUGAAAUUUUGAACUGGAUAAACUAUAGAUAGCACUUGGGAGUCUGUCACUGUGACUUCCCUUCGGGUAGGCAGUGAUUCAUUAAGCUGCUGACAUUCUUUGAAUGAAGUUGUUCAAUUAGCUACAAAUCUACUCAACUGUACUGUCAUUCACAUCAUUCCUGUCCACAGGAUGUUAAAUUCUUUGCUGAAAUUAAGAUAUAUUUUUGUCUGUGAUAUUCCCGUGAUCUCCAUGACCUGAAAAGCAGAUGUCAGGAUGCUUCCUCUGCUCAACCCUUAGGGCUUAUCAAGUAGGACAAAGCUUGGCUUUCAAAGAUCCCAAGCCAAUGGCUCCCAAGCUGGAAUCACCUGGAAGUUUUAAAACCCUGGUCUCCAGAUCACAUUCUCAGAAAUUUGGAUUACUGGCUUGGGUGUGGAUGGGCGUCAGUGUUUUUUAAAGGUCUACAGGGGAUUCUAAUAUAUAGCCAAUAAUUCUGAAAGUGGAGUUCAGACCAGCAGCAUCAGCAUCACCUGGAACUUGUUAAAAUGCAAAUUUUCACUGCACGUCCCCCAAUCCUGCUGCCUCCAAUCUGCUCCAAUCCACAGAAUCAGAAACUGCAAAGGAGGAGCUCAGGAAACUGUUUUAACAAGCCCUCCAGGUGAGUUGGAUAUAUACCAAGGUUUGAGAACUUAGGUUGAAAGCCUGUUCUAGGCUUUCCUUUCUCCUGGUUUAAAAAAGAUUGCCCUGUCAAGUGCUAUCGACCCUGAAAACGUCUGGUCUGAGGCCAAUUACAGCUCUCUAAAGCUGCAGGAGCUGGCAGGCGAAGCCCCCUGAGGCCUCCAGGAAAAAUAAGACGGAAUCCAGGUGAUAAGGUAUAACACCAAGUUUCACUUGCUCACAGGAUACUGCGCGCAGAGGCCUCGCACAAAACCCUUCAGACCAUAGUUCCUGGCAUCAAACAGCACCACUCGACACCUCAGCUUGGGGACCGUGUGCAGAAGCUUCUCACAAGAUGUUGUGAUUCAAGAUGGCAGGGGUUUGGAGAUACUGCUUUCAGCCUGUCCGUUUUGCGAGAACUCUACCCUCCUUCCCCAGAAGGGGAACUCUAAGAAGCAGCACCAACCACAACCUGUCCUGGAGGGGAGAGUGUGUGUGCUCUUGAGUCUGAAGGUGGAGAAGCUCUAUACAGUCAGCAAAAACAAGACCUGAAGCUGACUGUGACUCAGAUCAUCAGCUCCUUAUUGCAAAAUUCAGGCUUAAAUUGAAGAAAGGAGGGAAAACCACUAGGCCAUUCAAGUAUAACCUAAAUCAAAUCCCUUAUGAUUAUGUAGUGG
ensembl:lncRNA